AUACGGAGGAUCCGAGCGUUAUCCGGAUUUAUUGGGUUUAAAGGGAGCGUAGGUGGAUUGUUAAGUCAGUUGUGAAAGUUUGCGGCUCAACCGUAAAAUUGCAGUUGAAACUGGCAGUCUUGAGUACAGUAGAGGUGGGCGGAAUUCGUGGUGUAGCGGUGAAAUGCAUAGAUAUGACGAAGAACACCGAUUGCGUAGGCAGCUGACCAGACCGCAAAUGACGCUCAUGCACGAAAGUGCGGGGAUCGAACAGGAUUAGAUACCCUGGUAGUCCGCACAGUAAACGAUGAAUACUUGUUUUCGGCGAUAUAAUGUCGGAGGCAAAGCGAAAGCGAUAAGUAUUCCACCUGGGGAGUACGCCGGCAACGGUGAAACUCAAAUGAAUUGACGGGG
rnacentral:rRNA from 1 species